rnacentral:lncRNA from 1 species
AGAAAACAUGAAAUUCCGGCGACUUAUGACGUCCCUUCUUUUUUCUUUCUUUAUCAAUAGUUUGAAUGAAUUGAGAGACUGACAAAAAAGUGUUUGGUCCAGAAGAACAACCUAAAUCCGCAAUGCAUAUCGUUUCUCUUGAGGAAAGGUUGUUGUAGAGAGAAGAUAUGGCUUCAUCUGUUAUUGAUUUCGUCAUGAGGAUCACCUUUUGCUGUAGCAAUUCAAAAAAAAGGAUAUUGUUAUUUACAUAACUCAAUGGAGUUCAUAACAAUUGUGGUAGGUCAAAAUCUUAACUAAAAUUGUUACUACUAUAAGAAUAUUGUUGCUGAAAAUUAGUAUGAAAAUUUGCUGGAAAAUAAGUUUUCUUAUAGCGUGUGUGACAUAUAGUACCUGAAGCAGAGAAUUUUUGGCAUAGCUAGCAUCUCCCAUUCCUCCAUUCAUGAGAAGAACUUUAGUGACCUCCAUCUUUUAUUUUAUGUGUGUGUAUCCACUUUUGGCUUAAUAUAUUUUCAAUUAGAUUGUUUGGUGGGGGGCUAUUAAAUAUUUUGGUACCACACUUUAACUUUAUGUAAUAUCUAUCACAUUUAUUUAUCAUGUUACUAUAGCUAGCUAGCUACUACUCAUUCUUAUAUCUAACCAAUAUUGAUGACGUGAAAGACUUCUUCACUUAUAAAUAAUGGUGCACGUUCCUUUGUGUUGGGUAGAAGAUAAUGAAAAAUGUUAAUUGAGAUUAAUAAAAUAUUUUAAGUCUUCAAAUAUAUUUUAUUAUUUAAAAGAAAAUAUUUAUAUGUUAGAAUGAAUUAAGGUGUUCUUAAUUAAAUCUGAAUUGGUUGAGUUGUACAUAUUUGGAUAUCAGGUAGGAGAGGACGUUCUAAUUUUGGAACCUAAACGGCAUGCGGAAUUGGUGCAACCUCACGUUUAUGGGUUGUUAUAUAUAUCUUGAAGGAGAUAAGUUAAGAGAUAUACUACUGGAUCGGUGUAGGUUAUGUCACCGCAUAGAGUUGAAUCUCUGUUAGAGAAGUGAUAUAAGCACGCCUUAGCCUAAAUAUUUCUUAUUCAUUUUUGUCAUUUUAUUUCCAACCAAAAGGUCGUUGUCUAUUACUUUAUCUUCUUAUGAUGGAUUGCGUGAUACGAAUGAGCUUGCUAAUUUUAUCUUCUUUCUUUUUCUUUAAUUGAGGCAUUUUAAACAUGCAUAUAUAGUAGACGUGCUAGAUAUUGGUCCACUUUGUAGAGCUUGUCUAGUGUGUAUAGAAUUAAGUGAAAUAAAGUUUUGAUUCAUAAGAUAUGAUUUAAGCAUUUCUUUCUUAAGCCAAUUUUUGACAAAAUAUUUGUUUUACCCUAACCUUUAUCCUUAUAAGUUAGCUGCCUUUUGAGCCUUUUAGCCUAUUUCAAUAUUAGUCGCUUAAGUUAUUUUUAUAUAUAUAUGUUUGUUGAUUAACUUUGCAUUAAUUUGAUCUCGAUAUUCCUAAUGCAUAAUUUUAAAGUUGAAAACUUGGAAGUAAAGGGAAUAAGGAAGUGGAAACAAUUGGAAUUGGGAUGACUAAGGGGUAAAUCACAUAAAUAUGCUAUAUUAUUGAAAUAUUUAUCAUUUAUAAUAAAAUAAUUUUUUUAACUAAAUAUAACAUUUUUUAAUUAAGAAAAUUAUAUAAUAUCUGCUUCUUUCGCAACCUUUUGCUUUUUCUUCUUUUAAUUCUUCUACUUCUUCGACUUUGUCUUUCUUUCUUUUUACUCUUCUGCACCUUCAUCUAUUUUUGUUUUUUUUACUCUUCUAUUUGUUUCUCUUAUCUGAUAUCUUCAUCUUGUUUGUUUUUUUAAUUCUUGUUCUUCUUCUUUGAACUUUUCAUCUAAAUAACUAUAUUCUUUCAAUCAGUUUUUGUCCAUGUCACUAUUUUUAUCCAAAGACAAGAUGAAAAGAGAAAAAAAUAUCAAAAUUUUAUUUAAAUUCACGUUUUUAUGCAGAAAUUUCAAAUUUUUUAAAUUACAGAAGCAGAGUUCACCAUUGAUGAUCGUUAUAAAGCUUCAAAUUUUGAAUUUAUUAUUUGAAUUUUACGAAUUUGUGAUAAGUUUGAAUAGGUAGUUUCUACAAAUAAUUGAAAAUGUCGGUUGGAGUUUAUAUAUCAAUUUUAAAAGAGUUCAAUUAAGUUUAUAAUUGAUUUUAGGUGAAAUAUUAGAUUGAAAUAAAUUAAAUAUAGUAUUAAAAUUGUACUAAAGUUGAAUUAGAUAAUACAAUAUUAAUGCAAAUUUAAUUCAUUUUAAAGUUUUUAAUUUAUUUGCUACUAUUGGAUACUUAGCUUGUUUAAUUCAUCAUUGAUAUAACUUAUCAAUUUAUAGAUCAUUGUCAUGUCUUUUGUUAGUUACAUUUUCCAUUAAUUCUUAAUUCUCUCUUCUAAUUCAACUUUCAUACCAUGUAAUACAAUUUUAAUGCAAAUUUAAUUCAUUUCAUAGUUUUUUGAUUUAUUUGUUACUAUUGGAUACUUGUUUAAUUCAUUAUUUCUAUAAGUUUAAUUCACUUUAAAGAUCACUGUCUUGUCAGUCUUUAGUUGUGUUUUCAUUCAUUCUUAAUUCUCUCUUCUUAUUCAAAUUUAAUACAAUGUAAUAUAAUUCUAAUGCAAAUUUAAUUCAUUUUGCAGUUUUUAUUUAUUUAUUGUUAUUAUUGGAUAUUUCUUUAAUUUAUUAUUGAUAUAAGUUUAAUUCACAUAAAUCAUGAUAUUUCAUUUGUUACAUUUUUUUUAUUUAUGUUUAAUUUUCUCUUUUGUCUCAACUUUAAUAUUUGUGUAAUACAUUUUUAAAUACAAAUUUAUUUCAUUUUGCAACUAAGUGAUUGAUUUGUUACUAUUGGGUUACUUGUUUAAUUCAUUAUUGAUACAAGUUUUAUUCAGUUUACAUGCAAUCAAAGAAUGCUCUUUUGUUUUCUACAUUCUUCAUUCAUAUUUAAUUAUCUUUUAAUAAUUCAGUUUUAACAUGUUUGUAAUACAUUUUUAAUGAAGUUUAAUUCAUGUCUCUUCAUUUGUUACGACUAUAUUACUUCUCUUCUAAUAAUUCAACUUUAAUAUAUUUGUAAUACAUUUUUAAUUAAAAUUUAAUUCAUUUUGUAACUUUUUAUGCCUCUUCAUUUGUUACGAUUAUAUUAUUUGUCUAAUUAACUAUUGAUAUAAGUUUUAUACAAUAUAAAUCAUUGACUAUACUCGAAAACAAAGGGAAACAGAGCAAUAGAAAAAAAGCAACAAAAAAGAAAGCAAGAAAAAUAGGACAACAGAAAGAAAGGAAAAAGGUUUAAAAAAUAGAGAAAGAUAGAAAGAGACGGAGAAAAAGAGAAAGAAUGAAAGAAAGGAGAAAAUAAAUUUAAAAAGCUAUUAUAAAUGGUAAUAAUUAAAGAGUAUAUUUAAAAAAUGAUUAUUUUUUAAAAGAAUUACACUCAUGUAAUUAAUAAACAAAGUCAAUUGGUGCCCAUGAUUAGAAAUUAAAUUUGUUUUUUUUAGUUGAUUCUAUUGUUUUUGUCGUUUGAUAGAGUGUAUUAAUUGGUGUAUUUUUUUUAUGCUUUGUGUAACUAAUACUUGUUUUAAUUAUAUACUCUAUUAUGUGUUAAGGAGUGCAUUACUAAUACCAUGGAUUUUUAUGUAUUAGUAAUGCAAGGAGCUUUAAUGCAUGCAUUAGCAUAGUUAAAGACCUUAUUGCCCUUCAAAUUUUAUUUUAUUUUUUUUUAUAUUUUUUCACCAAAAUUGUAAAGAAUAUCUUUGUGAAUAAAUAUUUUUUAUGUAAUACAUGUUAUUUUUAAUAUAUCAAAUCAAACAAUGCAUAAGAAAUAAUCUACAUAUAUUUAAUGAAAUAUUAAUACAUGCAUUUUUAAUGUUAAUAUUACUGAUAUACUCUAAUUAACGUUAUUCUUAUAUAUUCUAUAAAAAGACGUUAUUUUUAAAGUGUUUUGAUGAUCUAAAUAGGAGUAAUUCUAUUUUAUUUGUGUAUUUAAGUGGGUGAUAUGUUUUCAGUGUCUAGUUAGUUGUUUGAUGACAACAAAGGUUAAUUAAGUAGGCAUCUGGCCAUGCGAUAUUAUAUCACGACAUGGUAUUGUGAGAUGGAUUAGCGUUUGGACAUGUGAUUUCACAUUGAUUCCAUCUCAUGAGAUGUGAUUCCAUAUUCUCCAAAAAGCAUGAUAUGAAAUUACAUGAUGAUUCCAUAUCAUGAUUUGAGAUAUUUUAAUACAAAAAUUGAUCCACAAGUUUAAUUUUGUUAAAACAAUUCCACAUUUAUAUCUACUAACCAUUUAUUUCAUAUCUAAAUAAAAUUUAUAAUCACAUUAUUAUUUUUUAAAAUUUAUUAUUUUCACUAACAUAAAAUUUAUUAUUCUCACCAACAUAUAAUCACUUUAACUCAUACCAAUAUCUUAAUGGUGCUUAUCGAUUUAGCAUGUCUAUAAUUUGAUAGCAAGUAAGUCUAAUCGAUAAAUUUCAAAAUGGGACUGAAUCGACCAAUACGACGCCCUAUAUUCUCCUUUCUUGGAAGAUAUAUAGAAACUCUACUGGUUGAAAAUAAUUGUUUUUAAGGAAUAGAAAAUAAAUAUUACAUUAUCAUAAAUCUCUGUGAGACAUAAGAUUAUUAUUAUAAUAUCGCAAGCGAUUAAAAUUUAAUAAUUGUAAAAUAACAAAUUAAAGGGGUCGGGAUAUAUACAACUAGGGUCAGAGUUUGUGAUGAUGCAUGAAUUGCAUGCCCUAGCUAGUUUAUUUUGGUCAACGAAACAGUGACAUUUACGAACAUAAUUUUUUCCAUCGCCUUGCGAUCGUUGGCAAUUACUUGGUUAUACUUGUGGAAAACUUGAUCCAUAUUCAAUUCAUCAUGACCAAAAUAGCUAACAAGUAAAGGUUCAGCCACAGAUCUAAAGCUUUUUGCCAUAUUGUAUUUCUCGUCAUCACAAGAAUUCCUUUGAAUUUCUGAAGUUUUCAAGAUAUCAAUGGUGAAAGAUCUCUCCUUUUCAACUAUAUACAUCACUUCUGAUGGAGAUGGAUUGUAUAAAGGAAUAUUGAAUGAAUCCACUUUUUCUUCAUCUAUUGAUUCCUGUAUAUAUUAAUUAUUUUAUUUAUGAACAUUAACUUAUAUGUAUACUACAGUGUAAAAUAAUAUUAUACUAUUAGUUCACAAGCAAUUUAUAUUAUCAAAUCACCUAAUAAAGAAGUGUGUUUUUUACAAGCUAUUAUACUAGGACAAAAAAUAUCUUAACUGAUAAAAAAUGAUUUUAAAAAUUGGAAGUUAUUAAUAAUUAGAGAUAAUAUAAUUUCAAUGAUAAUUCUUUUUUUUUAUGACUGUGGUAUCUAGGUUAACUUUUGUGCACUUCAACCAAUUCUAUAAAAUACUUAUACCACCUCUCAUAAAUACCAAAUAAUUUGGUCCACCAAGAUAAUUGUGGUUUCCAAGUCAAAUUUCGUGCACCUUGAUUAAUUUAAUGAGAUACAUGUCACCUCCUAUCUGUGCACCUUGAUUAACUCAAAGGGAUGCCAACCACCUCUCACCAACAACAAAUACUCCCUCCGUUCACUAUUGUUUGUCAUAGUUUCUAUUUUUAGAGUUAAACUAUAAGAACUUUGACUAACAUUUUACCAAGUAACUUGGUCAACCAAGAUAACUAUGGUGUUCGAACCAAACUUCAAUCAAUUUCAGGGAAUAAAAGUCACCUACUAAUCGUGCACCUCUAUUAACUCUAUGGGAUGCUUGCCAAACAUAUACCAAGUAACUAGCUUCAUAAAGAUGAUUGUGGUGUCCGGACUAAUUUUAUUGAUCUCGAUUAAUUUUAUGAAAUACAUGUCACCUUCUACUCGUGCACCUCGAUUAACUAUAUGUGAUAUCUGUCAACUCCUACCAUCAACAAAUAUGAUAUAACCCCGUCCACCAAAGUUAGAACAAAUAGAAAGAAUCACCCAAUAUUUUUUUUAUUACUAUUAAAUUUUAAAUCUGAAAUCUCAAAAUUCUCAACCACUUACCCUGGAUCAAUGGUGCCCAUUAAUAUUAUUAAAGUAUCUUUUUUCUUAAUUUUUGUUUAAUAAAAAAAAACACACACUUACCUGUGCAAUCAGAAGCUUGAGCGUCGUAGCCAAAAGUUCCCACUCAUAGGAACACCCUUGGCUGAAGCGAUCUUCAUUUUUUCUGCCCAACAUGGUCAAUACCAUACGCCCAUUUUCCAUCAAUUCUUCUGAGCGAUACUUUAAAAAUGUUACAAAAUCUCUCUCAAAUUGCUCAUAAUAUGCUUUAUGAACACUUGCUGGGCUUGUACUUGUUAGAUAGAUAUUUCCCUUAUUAUUCUUUAUUCCAUCGGGAACCUAUACAAUUAAUAACUGAUAUUUAAAAGAUCGAAACAUAUGUAUCAUUUAAAUCAAUAAAUAAUGACUUAUUUAUGGUAUUUCAGUUAAAAGUUAUAAGUUUGGCUCAUCUAAGUCAUUUUCAUUUGAAAAAAAAUUCAUAUUAUAUGUGUCAUUAUUUGUUAACGGAAAACUAUUCUGAUUUUGCAAACUCAAUUUCAUUAGUGGCCAAUAGCACGUAAUUAUUUUUUUUAAUAAGUAAAAAAAACUCAAUUAAAUAAUGACAUAAAUGAAUAUUUUUUUCAAAUGAAAAUGACUUAAGUGAGAUUAAUUUUUAACAAAUAACACAUAUUUAAGACUUUCUUCCUAUUAUUAUAUUAGCAUUAGAGAUUGAUACAUACUUGAGAAAGCCAAUGAAGACUAUAAGAGGAGUGGACAAAGUGUAGGCUAUUGGAAGGAAAAAGUCUAGUAUAAAAUGAACCAGCAACUCCUGUCACAAAGCAAUUUGAAGGAUCAAAUAAUGAUCCAUCUUCUCCCAUAUUUUGCUUCCUCAAACUUUGAUGGAAUGUUGGUAGCAAUCGAAAAAUGGUAUUGAAAUCAUUGCUAGGAAGAUCAUUCAAGAAAACAUGAAAUUCCGGCGCCUUAUGACGUCCCUUCUUUUUUCUUUCUUUAUCAAUAGUUUGAAUGAAUUGAGAGACUGACAAAAAAGUGUUUGGUCCAGAAGAACAACCUAAAUCCGCAAUGCAUAUUGUUUCUCUUGAGGAAAGGUUGUUGUAGAGAGAAGAUAUGGCUUCAUCUGUUAUUGAUUUCGUCAUGAGGAUCACCU